AUGAGGGGUAAUAAUGGGAGAAGCAAUAUUACUAGGGGUAGUAAUGAGAGCAGUAGAAGUAGCGAUAGUAUGAGGGGUAGUAAUGGGAGAAGUAAUAUUACUAGGGGUAGUCAUAAGAGCAAUAGAAGUAGGAACAGAAUGAGGAGAAGUAAUACUACUAGGGGUAGUAAUGAGAGCAGUAGAAGUAGGGAUAGUAUGAGGGGUAGUAAUGGGAGACGAAACAGCAGUAUGGGUGGCAAUAAGAGAAGAAACAGUACUUUGGCUGGUAAUAGGCAUAGAAGUAGUACUUGCAUGCAGUAGUAAUAAUAAUAAUUCUUACUCGCCUCUCCUCGUGGCUUGAGUCAGGUUACAGAAUAAUUAAAACAUGCAAACAUUGUAAUAUUGAUAAUAAUAUUAUAAUGUAAUACAAUAUUAUACUAAUCAAUAAUAUAAUAUAAUAUUAAUUAUAUAUUAUAUAUUAAAUGUAAUAUUACUAAUAAUAUUACCAUAGAAUUAUAUAGUGCAAUAUAGUAAUUUAAUUGCUUAUAUUGUGCUACGCUAAUAAUAUAUUGUAUGUACAUUUGAAUUGUAAGCUGCUCUGAGUCCCCUUCGGGGUGAGAAGGGCAGGAUAUAAAUGUAGUAAAUAAAUAAAUAAAUAAAUAUGACUACAAAUAAUACUAGGGGUAGUAUUAGCAAUAGGAGUAGUAAUAAUACUAGGGGUCGUAAUAAGAUCAAUGGGAAUAGGAACUGAAUAAGGGGUAGGAAUAGUACUGGAGUAAUAAUAUAAGUAUUAAUAGUACAUAGGGUAGUACUAGGAGUAUUAGUAGUACUCAUGUUGGUAAUAGUAGAAACUGUAUUUGGGGUGGUGGUAGAAUUCAGUUCCUCCAGUUUUGCCAGAUGAUUUCUUGUUCAAAAGCAGGUCACAUAUCUUCCGGGAAAUCGAAACGUUGAUUUUCCAACCUGAGGUUAUUUGUAGUCUUGCAAAUGCCUGCAAUUUCUUAUUUACUUAGACCCCCUUGAAGAGCCGAGGGGUGGAUCGAUGGGAUAAACCACUUAAGUGUGGGCCGGUGUGCAUUUAUUGAUGCAAGCGAAUGGGGCGAAUGGGGCGAGAGGGAAGCGCGGCUCGAAAGGGCACGGAGGACGUGGGAGGAGGAGGGGGGAGGCGCGUUGAGCCUUCCCCACUGGUUCCCCAAAAUGCCCCAUUUGUGUGCCGUUGCAGUCGAAGCCCUUGAGGCUCUUUUGUCGAAACAGUGUCCUCAGUGACAUGUUGGUUUGGGAGCACGCAAUUGCAAACAAGCACAUAUUUCCAAUCUCAUGGGUUUCAAUUGUGAUGGUACACAAAUGGGGCAUUUUGGGAAACCAGUGGGAAACGCUCCAUGCGUUGCCUUUUCUACUGGGAAAGGGAAUUGAUUACAUGUUAGUUGCUUGUAAUUUGUUAUUCCCACGCUCUGGCACGAAGAUGAAUACUAUG
rnacentral:lncRNA from 1 species